CUAAAUUCUAUUAAUACGCUAUUCACCCCCCCCUAGCGUAAAGCGUAGUUUCUAACAAGGAAAUGGCCGCAUCAUCAACAGAUUACUCCUAACCCCCAUGUAUGCUUCAUUUAACCCCAUAAGAAAUUGGAAUAUCUUGUUUUCAUCAUCUUCCUCAAUUAUUCCAUUUUUAGCAGCACACACACAUCUCUGCCCAUGAUUUGUGCACAUUGU
rnacentral:lncRNA from 1 species